CUGGAGGUAUCAGAAGUGCGAAUGCUGACAUAAGUAACGAUAAAGCGGGUGAAAAGCCCGCUCGCCGGAAGACCAAGGGUUCCUGUCCAACGUUAAUCGGGGCAGGGUGAGUCGACCCCUAAGGCGAGGCCGAAAGGCGUAGUCGAUGGGAAACGGGUUAAUAUUCCCGUACUUGGUGUUACUGCGAAGGGGGGACGGAGAAGGCUAUGUUGGCCGGGCGACGGUUGUCCCGGUUUAAGCGUGUAGGUGUGUGUUCCAGGUAAAUCCGGUUCACUUUAACACUGAGGCGUGAUGACGAGGCACUACGGUGCUGAAGCAACAAAUGCCCUGCUUCCAGGAAAAGCCUCUAAGCAUCAGGUAACAUCAAAUCGUACCCCAAACCGACACAGGUGGUCAGGUAGAGAAUACCAAGGCGCUUGAGAGAACUCGGGUGAAGGAACUAGGCAAAAUGGUGCCGUAACUUCGGGAGAAGGCACGCUGACAC
rnacentral:rRNA from 15 species